rnacentral:snRNA from 1 species
GCAUGUGAGGGCGAUCUGGCUAUGACAUCUGUCACUCCAUUGAUCACCAGGGUUGAUUCCUCUGAUCUGGCUGGCUAGGCAGGUGUCCCCUUCCUCCCUCACUGCUCCAUGUACGUCCCUCCCAAAGCUGCAUGCUCAAAGAGGACAACCUUCCCCGCUAGAGGAGGACCGGUCUUUGGUCAAGGGCAUACGAGUAGCUGCACCCCCUGCUGGAACCUCCAAACAAGCUCUCAAGAGAAAAAACUGUCAACCCAGAAUACUGUACCCUGCAAAGCUCUCAUUU